CUACCAGCUGGGAAAGGUCCUUUGGCUCCAAUGGCUAGAAUAUUGUCUAGAGGAGUGGUUCUCAACCUGUGGGUCUCAUGCCUUUCGGAGUCACAUAUCAGAUGUCCUGUAUAUCAGAUAUUUACAUUAUGGUUCAUAGCAAUAUCAACAUUACAGUUCUGAAGUAGCAAUGAAAUACUUGGUUAGGGGCGGUCACCACAACACAAGGAACUAUAUUAAAGGGUCGAAGCAUGAGGAAGGUUGAAAACCACCUGUCUUAGAGCCUCUUCUUAGUCACCUCAGGCCUCUCCUCAGGGUGAAAGCACCUGGCAAGGAGGCACUAAUACUGAGUUUCUCAUUUCCAGGACUCCGAAGGAGAGGUUCCGGCUCAGCGGAGGGUAAAUAUAUAAGGUCCAAGGACAGCAGGAGGCUGUCUAAAGUCCAGGGGCCAGAGGGACCUGAGGGAGUGGCCAGUUCUGGCAGGGGUGUCAACACAUGCAUGAUUCUGAACGUCUCCAUCACAGGAGAGAUGGAAGGAAGAUCAGGCCUAGGCCUAUGGAGGGAUGAGGAAGUCAAGGAGGAUCCCAGGGACUCUCUGACCCACAGACAAACACCCAGUGAUCAAGUCUCUAAGUGGGGUGUGGCAAUCUUCAAAACACAUCUUUCUGUCUUUCGUUCUUAAGGAGAAGUGGAGGCCUCUCAGUUAAACAGACUGAACAUAA
rnacentral:lncRNA from 1 species